rnacentral:rRNA from 1 species
GACGAACGCUGGCAGCGUGCCUAAUACAUGCAAGUUGAGCGAUGAAGAUUGGUGCUUGCACCAAUUUGCAGAGCAGCGAACGGGUGAGUAACGCGUGGGGAAUCUGCCUUUGAGCGGGGGACAACAUUUGGAAACGAAUGCUAAUACCGCAUAACAACUUUAAACAUAAGUUUUAAGUUUGAAAGAUGCAAUUGCAUCACUCAAAGAUGAUCCCGCGUUGUAUUAGCUAGUUGGUGAGGUAAAGGCUCACCAAGGCGAUGAUACAUAGCCGACCUGAGAGGGUGAUCGGCCACAUUGGGACUGAGACACGGCCCAAACUCCUACGGGAGGCAGCAGUAGGGAAUCUUCGGCAAUAGACGAAAGUCUGACCGAGCAACGCCGCGUGAGUGAAGAAGGUUUUCGGAUCGUAAAACUCUGUUGGUAGAGAAGAACGUUGGUGAGAGUGGAAAGCUCAUCAAGUGACGGUAACUACCCAGAAAGGGGCGGCUAACUACGUG